CUCGUUCAUCUUCGCAAGAAGACGGAAGUAGGUAAUGGUACCGAAGGAACGCAUC
rnacentral:ncRNA from 10 species